rnacentral:tRNA from 1 species
GAGAGUGCAGCUCAGUGGUACAGCACUUGCCUAGCAUGCAAGAAGCUCUGGGUUUGAUCCCCAGCACCA